CACAAGCGGUGGAUGAUGUGGUUUAAUUCGAUGCAACGCGAAAAACCUUACCCACCUUUGACAUGGCAGGAAGUUUCCAGAGAUGGAUUCGUGCCCGAAAGGGAACCUGCACACAGGUGCUGCAUGGCUGUCGUCAGCUCGUGUCGUGAGAUGUUGGGUUAAGUCCCGCAACGAGCGCAACCCUUGCCAUUAGUUGCUACGAAAGGGCACUCUAAUGGGACUGCCGGUGACAAACCGGAGGAAGGUGGGGAUGACGUCAAGUCCUCAUGGCCCUUAUAGGUGGGGCUACACACGUCAUACAAUGGCUGGUACAGAGGGUUGCCAACCCGCGAGGGGGAGCUAAUCCCAUAAAGCCAGUCGUAGUCCGGAUCGCAGUCUGCAACUCGACUGCGUGAAGUCGGAAUCGCUAGUAAUCGCGGAUCAGAAUGUCGCGGUGAAUACGUUCCCGGGUCUU
rnacentral:rRNA from 1 species